AUGGGUAGAAAAGGUCAGGAACUGUCAACAGAUGUCAAAAACAUGAUUGUGGAAAUGUUCCAGAAUGGAUUUUCUCGACGAAAAAUCGCUGACAUACUUAGAAUUCCCAAGUCAACAGUUAUUGACAAUGUUCGAAAAUUUUUAGACACGGGUUCUGUGGAGAAUAAACCCAGAAGUGGCCGACCAUUGUUUGUAAAACCACGCGACUACCGCAAGCUUGAACGCAUUGUAAAGACAAGUCGGAGGAGCACUUUAUGUGACAUAACAAACAAGUUUAAUGAGGAAAAUUGUGUUCCCGUGUCUAAACGUACCAUCCAGCACCAUUUACAUAAACAUGGGUAUCACAGGUGUGUAAAUAAGAAAAAAAAUCGUGAUCCGGGAAGUCAAUCGGAAAAAAAGACUUGCAUGGUGCAGAGAAAAAAGGAGAUGGACGGUUAA
rnacentral:sRNA from 1 species